rnacentral:rRNA from 1 species
AGAGUUUGAUCCUGGCUCAGGAUGAACGCUAGCUACAGGCUUAACACAUGCAAGUCGAGGGGAAACGACAUCGAAAGCUUGCUUUUGAUGGGCGUCGACCGGCGCACGGGUGAGUAACGCGUAUCCAACCUGCCCAUCACUUGGGGAUAACCUUGCGAAAGUAAGACUAAUACCCAAUGACGUCUCUAGAAGACAUCUGAAAGAGAUUAAAGAUUUAUCGGUGAUGGAUGGGGAUGCGUCUGAUUAGCUUGGUUGGCGGGGUAACGGCCACCAAGGCGACGAUCAGUAGGGGUUCUGAGAGGAAGGUCCCCCANAUUGGAACUGAGACACGGUCCAAACUCCUACAGGAGGCA